CCACAAACACCUGCAGGGGCUCAGCGUCCCACUCACUGGGCUCAUAGGUGAUGUCGAAGCCCUGCUUCCAAACACCUCCAUCCUGGUUAUCGAAGGGCAGCAGGGAGUACACGGCCAGCAUCUGCAGGUCGGGGCUCUCGCCUUUGGCCCCCAGGGCAAACUGGCAGUCCUGCGGGGACACGGCGAGGAAGCUGGGGCGGCUCUCUGGGGGCAGCGCCCAGGAGCCGUUGUCGCGGCGUGGCGGCGGGGGCUGCCCGUCGGCGUGCGCCGUCAGCUCCAGCACCGAGUCCUUGAUGUGGCUGAUGAUCUCGUGGUUCUCCUCCAGCAGCUGCUCCAGCUGCUCGAUGCGGUUCUGCAGCACCGAGAUCUGGCUCCGGGGGAAGUUCCCCCCGCUCUGGUGGCGCGCGGGGUCGUGCUGCACGCGGUCCAGCAUCAGGUAGAGGGAGAAGACGGCCACGCAGAAGAUGGCAGCUCCACACACUGUCACCUGCUUCUUCAGCUUCAUCCCGCAGCGCCGCGGGGCACACCCUGCGCGGCUCCGCGGCCCGACCCCG
rnacentral:lncRNA from 1 species